rnacentral:pre_miRNA from 1 species
CUGCUCUGUGGGAUGAGGUAGUAGGUUGUAUAGUUUUAGGGUCAUACCCACCACUGGGAGAUAACUAUACAGUCUACUGUCUUUCCUAAGGAGGCAGA